rnacentral:rRNA from 1 species
GACGAACGCUGGCGGCGUGCCUAAUACAUGCAAGUCGAGCGGACAGAAGGGAGCUUGCUCCCGGAAGUUAGCGGCGGACGGGUGAGUAACACGUGGGCAACCUACCCUGUAGAUCGGGAUAACAUCGAGAAAUCGGUGCUAAUACCGGAUAAUCAUUUGAAGUGCAUGCUUCGAAUGUAAAAGAUGGCUCCGGCUAUCACUACGGGAUGGGCCCGCGGCGCAUUAGCUGGUUGGUAAGGUAAUGGCUUACCAAGGAAACGAUGCGUAGCCGACCUGAGAGGGUGAUCGGCCACACUGGGACUGAGACACGGCCCAGACUCCUACGGGAGGCAGCAGUAGGGAAUCUUCCGCAAUGGACGAAAGUCUGACGGAGCAACGCCGCGUGAGUGAUGAAGGUUUUCGGAUCGUAAAGCUCUGUUGUUAGGGAAGAACAAGUGCCGUUUGAAUAAGGCGGCACCUUGACGGUACCUAACCAGAAAGCCACGGCUAACUACGUGCCAGCAGCCGCCGUAAAAC